ACUGAGAGCCUACCCCUCCGGGACCCCCUCGCUACCCUGCAGCCAUCAUCUUUAAGGCGUCGCCCUUUCCAGUAGCGCCCACCCAGCCCGCGUUAACUCCCCGCUCCGCCGGACCCUGAACCUCCAACGCCGAAUAACUCACAGCCCGCCUCUGGCCCCCGGAGCUACCUACUGCAGGCCUGGGUCCCCCUGGGUCCCUGAGUGGGACACGAACCAACCCAGGGUCCUGCAGUGAACCGAGAUGCUCAGGUCUUGGGGUUUCUGGGCCUGGUCGCCAGCACCCUUGCUCUGGGCACCUCCUGGGGGCGCAUCCUGGCGGGAGUGCGUGGAAGGCCGUGUGCCUCCCCUUAGGGCUCCCCACGGGAGCGACAAGAAGGGUCUGGGGCCCUUAAUGUCCCCCAGGUUACCCCCAGACCCGAAGACCUCCCACGGGCGUCCCUUAAGAGCUCCACACACUGACUCUCAGGAGUCUCCAGCUGGGGACCAAGUCUAGGAUCCAGGGGACACUGUGGGGGACAUGUCACCGUGACAGUAUAGAGGCCUGACCUUGUGGACAGCAUCAUCUCGCUGGGGGGUCCCCGAGACUUUGAAAAAGAGCCUGAAAAAGAGGUCACCAGGGCACAAGACAUCUGCAUUCAAUUGUCCAGUGAGAACCAGCACAAGUCCUUCUCUUCAGUGACCUUGGAGAAAUCAGCAGUGUAAUGAUCUUACCUAGUUUUUAUAUACACAUACACACGUUGUUUCAUUCAGCUUCUCA